AUUGAGACCGAGGCGUAACUAGAAAUCACUCGUUUGUAUGUUGGGAUAUGCAUCCUUGAGAAGGGAAAAACAUUAUUCAUGUAACAUUACACAGUUUGUAUGUAGGAUAAAUAAGGAGGCACCAAAAAAGAAGGAACGUUAAACAUUGUUAUGAAAAACAGCAUUCAUAAAAUAUCAGUAAUUUAUUUUGGCAAAUAGGCAGCGAUGCAUUUCAUCUUUUUACCCUAAUAAUUGCAGAAGUCAGUCUCAUAUUGAAGUUCACUUUGAACUGGUCUAAGG